rnacentral:lncRNA from 1 species
GAAGCUUAAGCAGUUCCCAUUUGGCACUAGGUCAGGCAUGUGUGUGCAGUGUUCUGCACCAUUUAAGGCUUUCCUGUGCCUGUGAGUUGCCUCCACCCCUUUGGCUCUCACUGAGUACCUCUUAAGUACCAUUCUGCAUGCCAAGUUAAAUGAUUUUAUUGACCAGCAUCUGACUAUAAACAAACCUAGGUCAUUGAAGAAGCUAUGGCUCUAAUGAGUCACUCAAAGCAAUCUACAGAGCAGGGUGUGGCUUCUCGUGGGACUCCUCCCCACCCCUCCAACCUCAACCCCGGAUGGAGUUUAGGGGCCUCAUGUGUGCUCUGCUCACAGCCCUUCUCUUGACAUUUCUAGAUUUGAGGUAGAGCUUCAUGAGUUGCCCAAGCUGGCCCUGAACUCACUCUUUAGCUCAGGUUAGCUUUAAACUUUCAAUCCCCCAGAGAAGCUAGUAUAACAGGACUCUCCCAAGAGGCUUGGCUUCCUGGGGGAACUCUUAACAACUAAAAUGUAGCUAGGCACAAACAGUGGAUAAGCCAUUUAGUUAGCAAGCAUGUAUUGGUAAGCUCUCUCGCAUAUGAUGAGGUAGUAUGCAGGGGUGGAGUCUUUUAUUCUCACACAUUAUGAAAGAACAAAAAAUAAUGCAUAUGAAAAAAUAUAUAGAGAGAAUAAUAUACCCUGCUGGGCUUCAAAUAUACCUAUCACUCACAUCAACAACAAACACGUCUCUUCUAUAAUAGAUUUUGUCUCAGUUUUGGUUUCAUGCACAUUUCCCUGUUACUAUUUUUUGUGAUAUUUCCCGCACACUCCCUUAUUUCAAUGGCAAAUAUUAUAGUAUGGAUUUCUGAAAGGUUAAAAUGCUCGUUUUCUUUUAAAAUACAUCCACGAGACUCCCAUAGCAUGGUCUACUCUCUUGGACUUCACGCUGUCACCUAUGCUUCAGAGGUUUUAGCUGUAGUUUGCAUAAAGUUCCCACCCAACCUUAUCCAGGCCUCCACUGAGUGUAACACACAUAAGAGGCUGUAAAGCAGAAUGGGCACAAAUCAGCACUCUGACAGAAGGCCUAUCUCAGGCAGGAGGACCCAGACCACCGUCUGAGGUGCUCUCUUCUAGGAUGUAUGAUUCGCUGGGACCUUCCUUUUAGAAACCAAGCUGAUCAGUUUCAUUCUCUGUGUUCUUUACAGAACAGCCACGACACACUCAACUGCUUUAUCUUAAUAUCCAGGGUCCUUUCGGGCUGAGAGUCCAUGGUUCUCCCAUGUUAGUGUUUUUUAGAACAUAUGCAUAGUCCUGUUAAAAUAUGUUGGUCAGGCUUGUCAGUUCUUACCUGUCAUCUCAGCACAGAGAAGCAGCGGCAGAAGGAUCUUGGACUCAAGAGCAGCUCAGCUAUGUAACUGUGUCCACAGGGAUGAAGAUAUUCCAAAGAGACGCUUGUCUAUCUGCUCCUCAGACUCCUGAAACAGUAGGCCCCACUCCCCAGAAUGGAAUUUCUCAGGACUCUUCUGCUGGGAGAAGGAGAGGGCUGAAGCUUGUGCCAGCUAUGCAUAGCCAAGCUGUUAUGCUCAAUGUAAGGACCACCACCAUCAACUUCUCUCUUGCCAAGAGCUUUCAGGUUGUCAGAGCCAUGUGAAGUCUCCUGCUGGACAAGUUCUCUCCUAUCUGACAUUGCACCUUUCUCUGAAGGCAACAAAGCAUGUCUGGCUAACGAUGCACACUCAGACAGACACAGACACAGACAGACAGACAGACAGACAGACAGACAGACAGACAGAGAGACACACAAACACGCACAGAGUGAGAGUCAGAGAAAGACAGAGAUUCACAGAGAGGUGUUCUCAUAAGGAUGACUGUAUGGAUGUGUGUGAACCUAGGUGCCCACAUUACAUAUUAACAUACAAAUAAUAGUUUUGAUGGUUCUACAGGUCAUUGAAAGAGGAUGGAAAUGAGUGGCCAUUUGUAAGAGAGACAGAAAAAUGAACUAAGAACUCUUGUGGAGCCAAAGAAGAUGGAUCACCAGGAAAAGGUUUGAGCAACACAAUCCUGAAAGCCGAGUUUGAUCCUCAGAAUUCAUGUAAAAAGUCAGAUGUGGUGGAUCUCAUUUAUAAUCACAACACACCGCAUGUGAGAUAGGAUUCAAGGACAGGAGAGUCACCCAGAAGCUUGGGAGCCAGCCAGCCUGGAGUAUAGAGCACAGGGG